UGCCAGACUCCUACGGGAGGCAGCAGUGGGGAAUAUUGCACAAUGGGGGAAACCCUGAUGCAGCGACGCCGCGUGAGCGAUGAAGUAUUUCGGUAUGUAAAGCUCUAUCAGCAGGGAAGAAGAUGACGGUACCUGACUAAGAAGCCCCGGCUAACUACGUGCCAGCAGCCGCGGUAAUACGUAGGGGGCAAGCGUUAUCCGGAUUUACUGGGUGUAAAGGGAGCGUAGACGGCGAUGCAAGCCAGAUGUGAAAGCCCGGGGCUCAACCCCGGGACUGCAUUUGGAACUGUGUGGCUGGAGUGUCGGAGAGGCAGGCGGAAUUCCUAGUGUAGCGGUGAAAUGCGUAGAUAUUAGGAGGAACACCAGUGGCGAAGGCGGCCUGCUGGACGAUGACUGACGUUGAGGCUCGAAAGCGUGGGGAGCAAACAGGAUUAGAUACCCCAGUAAA
rnacentral:rRNA from 1 species